AAGCUCUAUCAGCGGGGAAGAAGGAAGACGAUACCCGAUUAAGAAGCCCCGGCUAACUAAGUGCCAGCAGCCGCGGUAAUACGUAGGGGGCGAGCGUUAUCCGGAUUUACUGGGUGUAAAGGGAGCGUAGACGGCGGCGCAAGUCUGAAGUGAAAGCCCGUGGCUCAACCGCGGAACCGCUUUGGAAACUGUGAGGCUGGAGUGCUGGAGAGGUAAGCGGAAUUCCUGGUGUAGCGGUGAAAUGCGUAGAUAUCAGAAGGNCCCCCGGUGGCGGUGGCGGCUUGCUGGNCCGUGNCUGNCGUUGNGGCUCGNANGCGUGGGGACCCUAAAGGGAAANANACCNNNNNANUCCACAAANNAAAGGCCCCAUGAAGAAUGUCGGGGGGCAAAGCCCUUCGGGUGCCGCCGCUAACGCAAUAAGCACUCCACGUGGGGAGUACGUUCGCAAGAAUGAAACUCAAAGGAAUUGACGGGGACCCGCACAAGCGGUGGAGCAUGUGGUUUAAUUAGAAGCAACGCGAAGAACCUUACCAAGUCUUGACAUCCCGACGACGCCCUCAGAGAUGAGGGUUCUCCUCGGAGCGUCGGAGACAGGUGGUGCAUGGUUGUCGUCAGCUCGUGUCGUGAGAUGUUGGGUUAAGUCCCGCAACGAGCGCAACCCUUAUCCUCAGUAGCCAGCGGCCAGGCCGGGCACUCUGUGGAGACUGCCAGGGACAACCUGGAGGAAGGCGGGGAUGACGUCAAAUCAUCAUGCCCCUUAUGACUUGGGCGACACACGUGCUACAAUGGCGUAAACAAAGGGAGGCGAAAGGGUGACCUGGAGCGAACCCCAAAAAUAACGUCCCAGUUCGGAUUGUAGUCUGCAACCCGACUACAUGAAGCUGGAAUCGCUAGUAAUC
rnacentral:rRNA from 1 species